rnacentral:lncRNA from 1 species
AAUAGAUUAGAAAAGAAUCCUAAUCUAAUUACACCAAAGGAAUUAAAGAUCAAUUGGUGUCCGCUUCUAAAGGAGCGUUACGAUAAGAGGUCAGGAGGUAAGGAGUGGGGGAAAAUCUCGAGAAUCCCCAGCAUCAUGAUUAAUUUUACAUACCUGCAACUUGAUCCAGAAUUGUUGAAUUACCAGACAGGUAAUCUCUUCUCAUUUUCAAUUAGUUGGUAUCUGCAAUUUCUAGCCAAGUGGUACCUACUAUUAAUCACUAAACUAAUUUUGUCGGACUAUUAUUGCAGUGUAAGCCAAAUUUUACCAAGUCUGGUCUUGAGAACCUAGCUAGAAAGAGGCUUUAAUUUGUUCACUACAUAAUAUAUCAUGCCAUUAUUUGAUCUUUAGUGUAAUUCCUGUUCUUCUGAUGUUUAUGUGGGGAACAUAAACUACAGAAGGCAUUGGUCACAGGCCUCUUAAUUAAUUGUAUAAUCUUCUGUACGUCAUUUCACGAUGUUUAUUAAUUAUGUUGCAGGAAUGGAUAUUUGAUUUCAUGGUGCAGUGAAAGCGAGAAGACAAAGGCCAGCUAAUAUCAGAAGAGGUGAUUUAUGGUUUGGGUUUCUUUCUUCAAGAGAAUAUAGCAUAUAUAAUAUACCACUAGAUGAUUAUAUAUGCUCUCCAGUAUUGUAAUUGAUCAAACAAAGGUUAAUGUAUUAACCUAUAUGAGUGCGUUUGCUAUUAAUUUGUAUGAACUAAUAAAUUCAGUCACAUAAUGCUAAUAAAUGAAGUCUAAAUUCAGACCAAGGCGAAUAUAUUAAUGUGUAUGUCUGGAUAAUCUAUUUUAUAAAAAUUAAGACCCAAAAUCCUAAGUUUAAUCUUGAUGCUUGGAUCAGAUUGUUAUAGGUUAAGAAUAUAUCUCGCUCUGAUCAGCUAAUGCCGUCGGAAAGAGCGACCUUUCUUUUGAAUUUGGAUCAGCGCUGAAUUUAUCAAAAUUGCGAGCAGCAGUGUUGAAUUACAGUUUGGUGUACUUGAAUGUUAAGGUUUGGUGAAAAUCAUCAGCUCAAUUUCUUUUCUUUCUUUAUUUCUUUUUUCAAUUUUACAAGCAAUAAUUGCAAUUAUGGACAUAAUUGUAAUUGUCUUGGUUAUUUGAACUUAGUUUAUUUUUCUGAACACCUAUUUACAAAAUAUAUUAAUUAUUAAAAUUAAAAAACUCAAAAUUGCCGUUCACUCAUUUCUCUCAACUACAAGAUUUGUAUUUUCUUUCUCUACUGUAUAACCUAAAAUCUUAGUUUUAUUCUUUUACCCAUGAUUAUUUUCUUUUCUUAGUAAAUUAAAUUCAUUUUCUUUCUUCCUAUUACCAUUUACCUUUUAUUAAUCUUAAAUUUAUUGUUUCAAGAAUUAUUAAACCCAAAGAAGCUUUUAUAAUUUUUAUAGUUAGUAAAAGUUGAUUCAGAUUCAUUUUUUAAUGUGGGAUUUGUUUCUUGGAGCCCCCUAACUUACAUUCAAUUGUAACCUACGCCACACAUAGAAACAGUAACACGAUGGUAGAGCGUGUGUGAUUUGUGUGUGUGACUUAAGUUAAGCUGAAAGUAACUUAACAUUUGCCUUGUUUCUUUCAAUUUGUGAUAGUUCUGCCAAUAAACAGACGAUUAGAGCUUAGAAGGCUAAUGGCAACUCACUCGUGGGGCAUGAUAUCCCAAAAUUGCUGAAGUACUUGCUGCGCUUUUUGGGAAAGAAAAGGUCUUGGUAUUAGAUCCGCUAUUCUCUCUUUUAGGAGUUAAUAUAUUAUUUUUGUUA